GCCGGGGUGGCGAAAUUGGUAGACGCAGGGGAUUCAAAAUCCCCCGGGGGCAACCCCUUGCCGGUUCGAGUCCGGCUCCCGGUACCA
rnacentral:tRNA from 1 species